UGGGAUUGUAGACAGGAACUCAAAAGAUGUC
rnacentral:piRNA from 1 species